rnacentral:rRNA from 3 species
GGACUACACGGGUUUCUAAUCCCGUUCGCUCCCCUGGCUUUCGCGCCUCAGCGUCAGAUCGGGUCCAGCGCGCCGCUUUCGCCACCGGAGUUCCACUAGAUAUCAACGCAUUUCACCGCUCCACCUAGUGUUCCGCACGCCCCUACCCGCCUCCAGACGCCAGGUAUCCGCGGCCGUCCCCCGGUUGAGCCGGGGGAUUUCACCGCGGACCGUGACGCCCGCCUACGCGCCCUUUAAGCCCAGUGAUUCCGAACAACGUUCGCACGGUUCGUCUUACCGCGGCGGCUGGCAC